GGAGAGGUGUCCGAGUGGCCGAUGGUGCCUGACUCGAAAUCAGGUUUGGGGCAACCCAACGGGGGUUCAACUCCCUCCCUCUCCGCCA
rnacentral:tRNA from 1 species